AUUGAACGCUGGCGGCAGGCCUAACACAUGCAAGUCGAGCGCGAAAAUUCCUUCGGGGAUGAGUAGAGCGGCGGACGGGUGAGUAAUGCGCAGAAAUCUGCCCAGUAGUGGGGGACAACCUGGUGAAAACCAGGCUAAUACCGCAUACGCCUACGGGGAAAGCAGGGGAUCUUCGGACCUUGCGCUAUUGGAUGAGUCUGCGUCGGAUUAGCUUGUUGGUGAGGUAAUGGCUCACCAAGGCGACGAUCCGUAGCUGGUCUGAGAGGAUGAUCAGCCACACUGGGACUGAGACACGGCCCAGACUCCUACGGGAGGCAGCAGUGGGGAAUAUUGGACAAUGGGCGAAAGCCUGAUCCAGCCAUGCCGCGUGUGUGAAGAAGGCUCUAGGGUUGUAAAGCACUUUCAGUGGGGAAGAAAGCUUGUUAGCUAAUAACUGACGAGUGUGACAUUACCCACAGAAGAAGCACCGGCUAAC
rnacentral:rRNA from 1 species